rnacentral:rRNA from 1 species
UAGGGAAUCUUCGGCAAUGGACGAAAGUCUGACCGAGCAACGCCGCGUGAGUGAAGAAGGUUUUCGGAUCGUAAAACUCUGUUGUUAGAGAAGAGCAAGGACGUUAGUAACUGAACGUCCCCUGACGGUAUCUAACCAGAAAGCCACGGCUAACUACGUGCCAGCAGCCGCGGUAAUACGUAGGUGGCAAGCGUUGUCCGGAUUUAUUGGGCGUAAAGCGAGCGCAGGCGGUUUCUUAAGUCUGAUGUGAAAGCCCCCGGCUCAACCGGGGAGGGUCAUUGGAAACUGGGAAACUUGAGUGCAGAAGAGGAGAGUGGAAUUCCAUGUGUAGCGGUGAAAUGCGUAGAUAUAUGGAGGAACACCAGUGGCGAAGGCGGCUCUCUGGUCUGUAACUGACGCUGAGGCUCGAAAGCGUGGGGAGCAAACAGG